rnacentral:lncRNA from 1 species
GACCUGCAUUUGACAGUUAAAAAUUAUUCCCUCCAGCUCAUGAGUGCAAGGAGGGCCUAGACAUGCCAUUGGCCUGAGCCAUUCCUGUAGGCUUACCUUGCUCUUUAGUUAUGUGAACGACUGUACAUAAACUCUCAGUUCCCUAAGAAGGGUUCAGAACUUGAAUAAAAGCUGUACAUCUUUGAAUGAUAUAUAAACUUGUAAAAAAAAAAAAGUCAUGCACAUACUGAUUUAUGAUAUCUUACACAGCUGGGCAUGGUGGCACAUGCCUGUAGUCCCAGUGGCUGAGCCUGGGCUUCUCUGAUAUUCUAUGGAUGUGAACACUGUGGUAGGAUUUCUAUUGCAUUACAACAAAUUUAGUGCUUAAACAACACCAUGAUGAUAAGCCGGGAAAGGGUCUCAUCAUGCCAAAAUCAAGGUCUCAUUAGAACUGUGUCCUUUUCUGGAGGCUCUAGAUGAAAAUCUGUGCUUAUUUGAGUUGUCACAAAAUUCAGACACUUGAGACCUCAGGGUGGAGGUCCCCAGGUUCUUGAUGGAUGUCAACUGAUGUCCAUUGUCAGCCUCUAGAGGGCACUGUUCUCCUCAGCCAUGGCUCCUGUGCUCCAUGUUCCAAGUCAGCAAUGAUGUUCAGGGUCUUUACCUGUCACAUCUCUCUCAUCCUUUCUUCUGCCUUCCCUUCGAACUGUCCAGGAUUCGUGUGAUUGGAUUAAAUCCCUGAAUGAUUUAGGAUAAUCUUCCCAUGUUCAGGUCCUUAAUCACGUUUGCCAAGUCCCCUUUUCCAUAGAAAUGGGCAUCUUUACAGGUUCUGGGGGUUAUGCAGUUGUGGAGCCAUCUGCAAAAAUGCUCAGAAAUAUUAUUCAAAGGAGAAACUCCUCACUAAGUAGAACUUUCUGAUCCCAAGACAAAGUGGAGGAAACAGUCUUUGUAGAAGACCAGUGUAGUUCAGUUCUUAAACCUGACAUUUUACUUGUACAACUCUAAGUCAGUGAACCCAGUUUUUCUCCUUAUAAGAUCAGUAGACAGGAAAAUUCUCAAGAGGAUCAAAUUAUUACAUGGUCAAAAGUUUUUGAAGGUCCAUUUGUGUUCAUCAUCACAGUUGUCAUCUGGCCGCG